UUUGAUUUGUGCUCAAGAUUGGAUACGUUCCUCAAAUUGUCUAAUAAAUGUUGAGGAAGAUUUAGAGGAACUUGAAAAGCUUGAAGAGGUACUACCAAGUGUUGGCCUAACCCAAUUAGGGGGAUCAAGUUGUUCAACUCCUACCCUUAACUCUUAGAUGUUUCCAAAAGCUACUGCCUCCUUAUUUGAGGUUGUUUUUGGAUUUGGUCGGACUGCUCAAAAUCAAAUUGUUAGAAAUUUGAUGGAUUUUAAUAUUAUAUUUAAUUCUGUUGUUAUUUGAUGGAUUUCAAUAUGGAC